GACGAACCGUGCGAGCGUUAUUCGGAAUCACUGGGCUUAAAGGGCGCGUAGGCGGGCCCGUCAGUCAGGGGUGAAAUCCCACGGCUCAACCGUGGAAGUGCCUCUGAUACUGCGGGCCUCGAGGGGGAUAGGGGCGUGCGGAACUCAGGGUGGAGCGGUGAAAUGCGUAGAUAUCCUGAGGAACACCGGUGGCGAAAGCGGCGCGCUGGAUCCCUUCUGACGCUGAGGCGCGAAAGCCAGGGGAGCAAACGGG
rnacentral:rRNA from 1 species